AACUAACAUGGAUUCCCCUAGUAACGGCGAGUGAAGCGGGAUGAGCUCAAAUUUAAAAUCUGGUGUUCUUUGGACAUCCGAGUUGUAGUCUARAGAAGCAUUUUCCGUGUCGGACCAUGUACAAGUCUCCUGGAACGGAGCGUCAUAGAGGGUGAGAAUCCCGUUCUUGACAUGGACCCCCGAUGCUCUGUGAUGUGCUCUCAAAGAGUCGAGUUGUUUGGGAAUGCAGCUCAAAAUGGGAGGUAAAUUCCUUCUAAAGCUAAAUAUUGGCGAGAGACCGAUAGCGAACAAGUACCGUGAGGGAAAGAUGAAAAGCACUUUGGAAAGAGAGUUAAACAGUACGUGAAAUUGUUAAAAGGGAAACGAUUGAAGUCAGUCGCGUCUAUUUGGACUCAGCCUUACCUCGGUUUGGUGCAUUUCCUUGUAGACGGGCCAGCGUCAAUGUUGUCUGCUGGAAAAAGGUGUAGGGAAUGUGGCUCUUUCGGGAGUGUUACAGCCCUAUGUCAUAUGCAGUGCAGGAUAYNAGUGUAACAGCACGCUUCCAGUGGNCUUG
rnacentral:rRNA from 2 species